rnacentral:misc_RNA from 1 species
GUUUUCUUUCCCUCAUCUUUUCUUUCCCUUGUCAUCACCAUGGCCAGUUACUCUAACAACAUGCAUUGCCUCUCCUUCCCUCCAUUCAUGUCAUGUUGCCCAUUCCAGAUCUCCAAAGAUUUGAAGCGUAAGGUAUUUUGCUGAGUUAUUGUAAUCUUUCAAUCCUCAAAAGUUAGCAGAAAUGCAGAAGCAGUAAGCAAUUUACCAUUACUGGAACUGAAAGACAUGGAGAAAUUGU